GGAAGUGUGGCCGAGUGGUUAUGGCGCUACGUUUAGGUUUAUCCUUGUAUAAAUUACCGUAGUGGGAAACCUCGUGGGUUCGAAUCCCACCGCUUUCA